rnacentral:pre_miRNA from 1 species
GGCCUCCCUCUUUGGGGCAAUUGAUCAUGGAGCCCCCCCACAUCGAUUGCCCCAUGGAGGGUGGCC